UGAUCCUGGCUCAAGAUGAACGCUAGCUCCCGGCUUAACACAUGCAAGUCCAGGGGAAACGACAUCGAAUUCUUGCUUUUGAUGGGCGUCCACCGGCCCAAGGUGGACUAACGCGUAUCCAUCCCGUCCACCUCUUGGGGAUAACCUUGUCAGAAUAAGACUAAUACCCAACGACGUCUCUAGAAGACAUCUGAAAGAGAUUAAAGAUUUAUCGGUGAUGGAUGGGGAUGCGUCUGAUUAGCUUGUUGGCGGGGUAACGGCCCACCAAGGCAACGAUCAGUAGGGGUUCUGAGAGGAAGGUCCCCCACAUUGGAACUGAGACACGGUCCAAACUCCUACGGGAGGCAGCAGUGAGGAAUAUUGGUCAAUGGACGAGAGUCUGAACCAGCCAAGUAGCGUGCAGGAAGACGGCCCUAUGGGUUGUAAACUGCUUUUAUAAGGGAAUAAAGUGAGUCUCGUGAGACUUUUUGCAUGUACCUUAUGAAUAAGGACCGGCUAAUUCCGUGCCAGCAGCCGCGGUAAUACGGAAGGUCCGGGCGUUAUCCGGAUUUAUUGGGUUUAAAGGGAGCGUAGGCCGGAGAUUAAGCGUGUUGUGAAAUGUAGAUGCUCAACAUCUGAACUGCAGCGCGAACUGGUUUCCUUGAGUACGCACAAAGUGGGCGGAAUUCGUGGUGUAGCGGUGAAAUGCUUAGAUAUCACGAAGAACUCCGAUUGCGAAGGCAGCUCACUGGAGCGCAACUGACGCUGAAGCUCGAAAGUGCGGGUAUCGAACAGGAUUAGAUACCCUGGUAGUCCGCACGGUAAACG
rnacentral:rRNA from 1 species